UUGGCGCAGGGGCGGGGACACCGUCCGUGGCGUGGCGUGACGUCACGCCUAUGAUCGGGUGGUGGCCUGGCCAAGUCAGUGGAGUCAGUCUGAGUUUGUGAAGUGAAGCGUUCACAUACCAUCACUCCGUUUCCCUGGUGUUAAUAAUUCACGCUGAAGAUGCCUACCACGUGUGCAGUGUUUGGUUGCCAUUCCGUUUAUGAAAAAGGUGUAAAAAUAACAUUCCAUACGUUUCCGAAAGACGAAGACACAAGGCAGAAGUGGAUUACUGCGUGCAGAAGAGGAGAUUUUAUAAAUCCAACCGCUGCACAUAUGUGCAACCGGCAUUUUGAAGAUAAUGCAUACGAGAGAAACCUUAUGUACGAGCUUUUGGAAAUACCACUACCCUCAAAGCAAAGAAGGCUGCGACCAGGGGCCGUACCAACGCUGCACUUACCAAUAGUAACAAACUCCGUAACAAUUGAUGAUAUUCUAGAGAGGAGAAGAGGAACAAAACGAUUCCUAGCAGAAACAGAUGUCGCUAAUGGAGCUGCUGCAACGCCUGAGAGCGAAGCUGUUCCUGUGACAGCUGCUGGUGGGUCGGUACCAAAGAGGAGGCUUCUUUUUGGCGAUCCCACAGGUUCAGUGUCUGGCUCCUUAAGUGAUGAAGGAAAUCACAGAGGGAGGGAAGGAGAGAGAACAGAAGGCCACGGCACUACUACA